rnacentral:rRNA from 1 species
GACGAACGCUGGCGGCGUGCCUAAUACAUGCAAGUUGAGCGAUGAAGAUUGGUGCUUGCACCAAUUUGAAGAGCAGCGCACGGGUGAGUAACGCGUGGGGAAUCUGCCUUUGAGCGGGGGACAACAUUUGGAAACGAUUCCUAAUCCCCCAUAAUAACUUUCAACAUAAUUUUCAAGUUUUAAAAUUGCAAUUCCAUAACUCAAAGAUAUUCCCGCGUUGUGUUAGCUAGUUGGUGAGGUAAGGCUUCACAAAGCCGAUGAUACAUAGCGACCUUGAGAGGGUGAUCGGCCACAUUGGGACUGAGACACGGCCCAAACUCCUACGGGAGGCAGCAGUAGGGAAUCUUCGGCAAUGGCAGAAAGUCUGACCGAGCAACGCCGCGUGAGUGAAGAAGGGUGUCGGAUCGUAAAACUCUGUUGGUAGAGAAGAACGUUGGUGAGAGUGGAAAGCUCAUCAAGUGACGGUAACUACCCAGAAAGGGACGGCUAACUACGUG